rnacentral:rRNA from 1 species
CGGCCACAUUGGGACUGAGACACGGCCCAAACUCCUACGGGAGGCAGCAGUAGGGAAUUUUCGGCAAUGGAGGAAACUCUGACCGAGCAACGCCGCGUGAACGAUGAAGUAUUUCGGUACGUAAAGUUCUUUUAUUAGGGAAGAAUAAAUGAUGGAAAAAUCAUUCUGACGGUACCUAAUGAAUAAGCCCCGGCUAACUAUGUGCCAGCAGCCGCGGUAAUACAUAGGGGGCAAGCGUUAUCCGGAAUUAUUGGGCGUAAAGGGUGCGUAGGCGGUUAAAUAAGUUUAUGGUCUAAGUGCAAUGCUUAACAUUGUGAUGCUAUAAAAACUGUUUAACUAGAGUAAGAUAGAGGCAAGUGGAAUUCCAUGUGUAGUGGUAAAAUGCGUAAAUAUAUGGAGGAACACCAGUAGCGAAGGCGGCUUGCUGGGUCUUUACUGACGCUGAGGCACGAAAGCGUGGGGAGCAAACAGGAUUAGAUACCCUGGUAGUCCACGCCGUAAACGAUGAGUACUAAAUGUUGGGUAAAACCAGUGUUGAAGUUAACACAUUAAGUACUCCGCCUGAGUAGUACGUACGCAAGUAUGAAACUUAAAGGAAUUGACGGGACUCCGCACAAGCGGUGGAUCAUGUUGUUUAAUUCGAAGGUACCCGAAAAACCUCACCAGGUCUUGACAUGCUUCUGCAAAGCUGUAGAAACACAGUGGAGGUUAUCAGUUGCACAGGUGGUGCAUGGUUGUCGUCAGCUCGUGUCGUGAGAUGUUGGGUUAAGUCCCGCAACGAGCGCAACCCUUAUUGUUAGUUGCCAGCACGUAAUGGUGGGGACUUUAGCAAGACUGCCAGUGAUAAAUUGGAGGAAGGUGGGGACGACGUC